rnacentral:rRNA from 1 species
UCUUCUGGGAAAGCUUUCGCGGUAUGGGAUGGGGUCGCGUCCUAUCAGCUUGACGGCGGGGUAACGGCCCACCGUGGCUUCGACGGGUAGCCGGCCUGAGAGGGCGACCGGCCACAUUGGGACUGAGAUACGGCCCAGACUCCUACGGGAGGCAGCAGUGGGGAAUAUUGCACAAUGGGCGCAAGCCUGAUGCAGCGACGCCGCGUGAGGGAUGGAGGCCUUCGGGUUGUAAACCUCUUUUAUCGGGGAGCAAGCGUGAGUGAGUUUACCCGUUGAAUAAGCACCGGCUAACUACGUGCCAGCAGCCGCGGUAAUACGUAGGGUGCAAGCGUUAUCCGGAUUAUUGGGCGUAAAGGGCUCGUAGGCGGUUCGUCGCGUCCGGUGUGAAAGUCCAUCGCUUAACGGUGGAUCCGCGCCGGGUACGGGCGGGCUUGAGUGCGGUAGGGGAGACUGGAAUUCCCGGUGUAACGGUGGAAUGUGUAGAUAUCGGGAAGAACACCAAUGGCGAAGGCAGGUCUCUGGGCCGUUACUGACGCUGAGGAGCGAAAGCGUGGGGAGCGAACAGGAUUAGAUACCCUGGUAGUCCACGCCGUAAACGGUGGAUGCUGGAUGUGGGGCCCGUUCCACGGGUUCCGUGUCGGAGCUAACGCGUUAAGCAUCCCGCCUGGGGAGUACGGCCGCAAGGCUAAAACUCAAAGAAAUUGACGGGGGCCCGCACAAGCGGCGGAGCAUGCGGAUUAAUUCGAUGCAACGCGAAGAACCUUACCUGGGCUUG